GCGUGAUUGCAGAUUCCGUGAAUCAUCGAGUCUUUGAACGCACAUUGCGCCCCCUGGUAUUCCGGGGGGCAUGCCUGUCCGAGCGUCAUUGCUGCCCAUCAAGCACGGCUUGUGUGUUGGGUCGUCGUCCCCUCUCCGGGGGGGACGGGCCCCAAAGGCAGCGGCGGCACCGCGUCCGAUCCUCGAGCGUAUGGGGCUUUGUCACCCGCUCUGUAGGCCCGGCCGGCGCUUGCCGAACGCAAAUCAAUCUUUUCCAGGUUGACCUCGGAUUAGGUAGGGAUACCCGCUGAACUUAAGCAUAUCAAUAAGCGGAGGA
rnacentral:rRNA from 1 species